rnacentral:rRNA from 1 species
AUUGAACGCUGGCGGCAGGCCUAACACAUGCAAGUCGAGCGGGGUUUUCGGACCUAGCGGCGGACGGGUGAGUAAUGCGUAGGAAGCUGCCCGAUAGAGGGGGAUACCAGUUGGAAACGACUGUUAAUACCGCAUAAUGUCUACGGACCAAAGUGUGGGACCUUCGGGCCACAUGCUAUCGGAUGCGCCUACGUGGGAUUAGCUAGUUGGUGAGGUAAUGGCUCACCAAGGCGACGAUCUCUAGCUGGUUUGAGAGGAUGAUCAGCCACACUGGAACUGAGACACGGUCCAGACUCCUACGGGAGGCAGCAGUGGGGAAUAUUGGACAAUGGGCGCAAGCCUGAUCCAGCCAUGCCGCGUGUGUGAAGAAGGCCUUCGGGUUGUAAAGCACUUUCAGCGAGGAGGAAGGGGUUGUAGUUAAUAGCUGCAACCUUUGACGUUACUCGCAGAAGAAGCACCGGCUAACUCUGUGCCAGCCGCCGCCGUAA